CCUACGGGAGGCAGCAGUGGGGAAUAUUGCACAAUGUGCGAAAGCCUGAUGCAGCAACGCCGCGUGAAGGAAGACGGUUUUCGGAUUGUAAACUUCUAUCAAUAGGGAAGAAAGAAAUGACGGUACCUAAAUAAGAAGCCCCGGCUAACUACGUGCCAGCAGCCGCGGUAAUACGUAGGGGGCCAGCGUUCUCCGGAAUUCCUGGGUGUAAAGGGAGAGUAGGCGGCAAGGUAAGCGAUAUGUGAAAGCCUUAAGCUUAACUAAAGGAUUGAAUAACGAACUAUCUAGCUAGAGGACAGGAGAGGAAAGCGGAAGUCCUAGUGUAGCGGUGAAAUGCGUAGAUAUUAGGAAGAACACCAGUGGCGAAGGCGGCUUUCUGGACUGAAACUGACGCUGAGGCUCGAAAGCGUGGGGAGCGAACAGGAUUAGAUACCCGUGUAGUC
rnacentral:rRNA from 1 species